rnacentral:rRNA from 1 species
CCAGGAGCAUAGCCGGGUAGCUAUGUUCGGAUCAGAUAAACGCUGAAAGCAUAUAAGCGUGAAACUGACUCCAAGAUGAGAUCUCAAUCCCGUAAGGGUGAAGAGUCGUGGUAGACUACCACGUUGAUAGGCCGGAGGUGGAAGCGCCGCAAGGUGUGGAGCUGACCGGUACUAAUCGCUCGGAUAUUUUUAAACU